GGUCAGUGUCUGGUUGCGUGGGACAUCAUCUGUAGACCCAAAUGUUAUGGUGGACUAGGUAUAAAAAACAUGAAGAUAUAAUCAAUUGCCUUGAGAGUCAAAUGGGAGUGGCUUCGAAGGACCGAGCCGCACAGGCCAUGGCAGUGACUACCAAUGGUCGAAGCUAGAGAUGCUCGGGCGGUGUUCUAUAGUCUCGUGCACAUCGAGGUUGGUACAGGAGACACAGUUCUAUUUUGGCGCGAUCAGUGGAUCCAGGGAUUCGUUGUGGUGGAUAUUGCACCUCUGGUUCUUGCUACGGUGCAAACUAGGAUUGCCAACACUCGCAUGGUGUAG
rnacentral:rRNA from 1 species